CCGGCAGGCCGGCUCGGACCAUGAGCACAGUUCCAAGAAUGCAGGGAUGAGGAGGAGCCGGGCUGGGCCGUUGAGUCCAGGCUGAGCCCACACAUCAUGUUCCUCUCUCAGAGCAUCUUGACAGGAGGGAGCCAUCUCUGUGGGACCCGCCUCUGCCAUGAAAUUGCCCAUGCCUGGUUUGGCUUAGCCAUCGGGGCCCGAGACUGGACGGAGGAGUGGCUGAGUGAAGGCUUCGCCACUCAUUUGGAGGAUGUGUUUUGGGCCACAGCACAGCAGCUGGCCCCCCAUGAGGCCUGGGAGCAGCAGGAGCUGAGGGCUUGUCUGCGUUGGCGUCGCCUCCAGGACGAGAUGCAAUGCUCCCCCGAGGAGAUGCAGGUGUUAAGACCCAGUAAAGACAAAACUGGCCACACAAGUGACUCAGGAGCAUCUGUUAUCAAGCAUGGACUUAAUCUGGAGAAGAUCUUCAUGCAGGUGCAUUAUUUAAAGGGCUACUUCCUUCUUCGGUUUCUUGCCAAAAGACUUGGAGAUGAAACCUAUUUUUCAUUUUUAAGAAAAUUUGUGCACACAUUUCAUGGACAGCUGAUUCUUUCCCAGGAUUUUCUUCAAAUGCUACUGGAGAACAUUCCAGAAGAAAAAAGGCUUGAGCUGUCUGUUGAAAACAUCUACCAAGACUGGCUUGAGAGUUCCGGAAUACCAAAGCCGCUGCAGAGGGAGCGCCGCUCCGGGGCGGAGUGCGGGCUCGCGCGGCAAGUGCGCGCCGAGGUCACGAAAUGGAUUCGAGUGAACCGGAGACCCCGAAAACGGAAGCGCAGGGAGAAAGAAGAGGUGUUUGAAAAGGUUCGCCAUCGGUGGUGUGAACUCAUUGUUAAACACAAGUUCACGAAAGCCUACAAAAGUGUGGAGAGGUUCCUUCAGGAGGAUCAGGCCAUGGGUGUGUACCUC
rnacentral:sRNA from 1 species